rnacentral:rRNA from 1 species
CACGCCGUAAACGAUGGAUACUAGGUGUAGGAGGUAUCGACCCCUUCUGUGCCGUAGUUAACGCAAUAAGUAUCCCGCCUGGGGAGUACGUGCGCAAGCAUGAAACUCAAAGGAAUUGACGGGGACCCGCACAAGCAGCGGAGCAUGUGGUUUAAUUCGAAGCAACGCGAAGAACCUUACCAGGGCUUGACAUCCCGAUGACCGGUACAGAGAUGUACCUUCUCUUCGGAGCAUCGGUGACAGGUGG